GAUGAACGCUAGCGACAGGCUUAACACAUGCAAGUCGAGGGGCAGCACAGGUAGCAAUACCGGGUGGCGACCGGCGCACGGGUGAGUAACGCGUAUGCAACUUGCCUAUCAGAGGGGGAUAACCCGGCGAAAGUCGGACUAAUACCGCAUGAAGCAGGGGCCCCGCAUGGGGAUAUUUGCUAAAGAUUCAUCGCUGAUAGAUAGGCAUGCGUUCCAUUAGGCAGUUGGCGGGGUAACGGCCCACCAAACCGACGAUGGAUAGGGGUUCUGAGAGGAAGGUCCCCCACAUUGGGACUGAGACACGGCCCAG
rnacentral:rRNA from 1 species